rnacentral:lncRNA from 1 species
GGUGGUGUGGUUAGUUACCUAUGAAUAAGGUAGUGGUGGUGUGGUUAGUUACCUACGAACAAGGUAGUGGUGGUGUGGUUAGUUACCUAUGAAUAAGGUAGUGGUGGUGUGGUUAGUUACCUAUGAACAAGGUAGUGGUGGUGUGGUUAGUUACCUAUGAACAAGGUAGUGGUGGUGGGGUUAGUAACCUAUGAACAAGGUAGUGGUGGUGUGGUUAGUUACCUAUGAACAAGGUAGUGGUGGUGUGGUUAGUAACCUAUGAACAAGGUAGUGGUGGUGUGGUUAGUUACCUAUGAACAAGGUGGUGUGGUUAGUUACCUAUGAACAAGGUGGUGGUGGUGUGGUUAGUUACCUAUGAAUAAGGUAGUGGUGGUGUGGUUAGUUACCUCUGAAUAAGGUAGUGGUGGUGUGGUUAGUAACCUAUGAACAAGGUAGUGGCAGUGUGGUUAGUUACCUAUGAACAAGGUGGUGGUGGUGUGGUUAGUUACCUAUGAACAAGGUGGUGUGGUUAGUUACCUAUGAACAAGGUAGUGGCGGUGUGGUUAGUUACCUAUGAACAAGGUGGUGGUGGUGUGGUUAGUUACCUAUGAAUAAGGCAGUGGUGGUGUGGUUAGUUACCUAUGAACAAGGUAGUGGUGGUGUGGUUAGUUACCUAUGAACAAGGUAGUGGUGGUGGGGUUAGUUACCUAUGAACAAGGUGGUGUGGUUAGUUACCUAUGAACAAGGUAGUGGUGGUGUGGUUAGUUACCUAUGAACAAGGUAGUGGUGGUGGGGUUAGUAACCUAUGAACAAGGUAGUGGUGGUGUGGUUAGUUACCUAUGAACAAGAUAGUGGUGGUGUGGUUAGUUACCUAUGAAGAAGGUGGUGUGGUUAGUUACCUAUGAAUAAGGUAGUGGUGGUGUGGUUAGUUACCUAUGAAGAAGGUAGUGGUGGUGUGAUUAGUUACCUAUUAGAAGGUGGUAGUGUGGUUAGUUACCUCUGAAUAAGGUAGUGGUGGUGUGGUUAGUAACCUAUGAACAAUAUAGUGGUGGUGUGGUUAGUUACCUAUGAAGAAGGUAGUGGUGGUGUGAUUAGUUACCUAUUAGAAGGUGGUGGUGUGGUUAGUUACCUAUGAAUAAGGUGGUGGUGGUGUGGAUAGUUACCUACGAACAAGGCGGUGGCGGUGUGGUUAGUUAGCUAUGAACAAGGUAGUGGUGGUGUGGUUAGUUACCUAUGAAGAAGGUAGUGGUGGUGUGAUUAGUUACCUAUUAACAAGGUGGUGGUGUGGUUUGUUACCUAUGAACAAGGUAGUGGUGGUCUGGUUAGUUACCUAUGAAUAAGGCAGUGGUGGUGUGGAUAGUUACCUACGAACAAGGCAGUGGUGGUGUGGUUAGUUACCUACGAACAAG